UGGGGAAUAUUGCACAAUGGGCGCAAGCCUGAUGCAGCCAUGCCGCGUGUAUGAAGAAGGCCUUCGGGUUGUAAAGUACUUUCAGCGGGGAGGAAGGGAGUAAAGUUAAUACCUUUGCUCAUUGACGUUACCCGCAGAAGAAGCACCGGCUAACUCCGUGCCAGCAGCCGCGGUAAUACGGAGGGUGCAAGCGUUAAUCGGAAUUACUGGGCGUAAAGCGCACGCAGGCGGUUUGUUAAGUCAGAUGUGAAAUCCCCGGGCUCAACCUGGGAACUGCAUCUGAUACUGGCAAGCUUGAGUCUCGUAGAGGGGGGUAGAAUUCCAGGUGUAGCUGUGAAAUGCGUAGAGAUCUGGAGGAAUACCGGUGGCGAAGGCGGCCCCCUGGACGAAGACUGACGCUCAGGUGCGAAAGCGUGGGGAGCAAACAGG
rnacentral:rRNA from 1 species